CAAUUUUCUGCCACCGAAUACAUUAGCAUGGGAUAAUGGAAUAGGACCCUGUCCUCCUAUUUUCAGUUGGUUUUGGCAGCGCGAGGACUAGGGUAAUGAUUAAUAGGGAUAGUUGGGGGCAUUAAUAUUUAAUUGUCAGAGGUGAAAUUCUUGGAUUUAUGAAAGAUUAACUUCUGCGAAAGCAUCUGCCAAGGAUGUUUUCAUUAAUCAAGAACGAAAGUUAGGGGAUCGAAGACGAUCAGAUACCGUCGUAGUCUUAACCAUAAACGAUGCCGACCAGCGAUUAGGAGACGUUGAAUACAAAACACCACCAUCGGCGCGGUCGUCCUUGGCGCGUUCGUGUUCACGCACGGGCGCGCGAGGGCGGCUUAGCCCGGUGGCACCGGUGAAUGACUCCCCUAGCAGCUUGUGAGA
rnacentral:rRNA from 1 species